ensembl:lncRNA
GUCUGAGGACGCAGGAGCGCGCGCGCGGGUCGUAGGCGUGAGUUCAAAGUGUGUCUGGUUCCAGGGUUUGGGUCGAGGCGAGCAUAACAACUCAUACUUACCUGGCAGGGGAGAUACCAUGAUCACGAAGGGUCUUGCUAAAUUAAACUGGGCUUGAAGUUGGCACCCUUCUGGUCCUGCCUCCUAGAGUGCUGGGAUUACAGGUGUGCACCACCAUGCUCAACAAAUCAUUUGAGGACAAAUUGAGAACAUGUGUGGAGUUGUUUCUACCUUCGUAUACAAAAGCGCAAAAUUCCAUAGGUUAUAGAUUGGUGUCACCCCAGAAUUCAUUUUGAGUGCCUAAAGUAUAUAAAGCUUUUCAGACUAGGGUUAAAAGAAGUCAUAAGGUCACAAUCCAUUGACUGCUGUAUUUUAAAAAUAGUGCUCAAGGUGGCCUCAAACUUCUGGUCUGAGGAGAUCCUCCCGCUUUGGCCUAAGUAUCAGACUGGGGACUGCUGGCAGGCAUAGUCCACACCUGCCUGGCUCCCCUAGCCAGUGUCUUUGUGAGAGACAAGGCACGCGCCUGGCGUCCGGGCUAUUGCACAAUGAGGCUGAAGCAAGAAAAGGGUGAGUUUGAAGUCAGUGUAGGCGGCUCCCCCCACACACCCCGUGCCCCAGGGAUGUGACACAUGAAAGCGAGAACAUAGAGAUGCGCCACACUCUGAAUUAAAUGGAAUCUUUUAUAAGCGGGCUGAUCCAGCGUGGCUUAUACCAAAAAGACUGGACAAAGGAACAGUUGCAGACUUUACAGGCGUCCUGCUUGUAAGGCAGUACAAAUAACAUUUGCAAAUUUACACAGAAUACGGCAGUCUGCCAUGCAUUAACUGAGGAGACUCCCACGGGGGAAGGGGAAGGAGACCACCCGAAACUAUUUGACUUUACACAAAUGUAGUUAAAUUGGCUAUCACAUGAGGACACAGGAGGAAGGCAUCUCAAGCUGGAAGCCAAGGGGUGUCAGGAGAAACCAGAGGUACUGACACCUUGAGCUUAUACUUUGAGUUUCUAGAACUGAGAAAACAUGCAGUUUGAACGUCUUAGAAUUGCUCACCUUGUGAUAACCGUGACUGGCUUGAACUUGAAAACCUUUGCAUUUAUCGACUUGAUCUGGCUCCAGUGUACUUCUCAUAAUAGGGCCUUAAUAAGUUACCCAGGAUGGGGCCAGAGAUUAGCUCAGUGGUUUCGGGGCCUGCUACGAAAAUUCAAAGGGCCCGAGUUUGAAAAAUCGCCCAGGCUAGCCUCCACUUUUGUAUAUACUCUUUUCUGAGGCUCUCACAGUCCAGACUUGAUACAUGUGUAAUUU